AGCAGUUGUUGAACAGUUAGCGUUAUGUGUUGGAUAUGUUGUUUCAAAAUAUAAUAUUAAAGAAAAUGUUCUUAAAUUUAUACCUGCAAGCCUAACUGAGAAAAAUCUAGCCGAGUCUAUUAUAAGUGGAUUAAAUGAAUGUGGAAUAAACUGCAAUUUCCUUUAUGGUCAAGGAUAUGACGGUGCUUAAAACAUGUCAGGCCAGUUCAAUGGUGCACAAACACACAUUAGAGCUACUUUUCCUAAAGCGAUAUAAUAUGUACAUUGUGCAGCCCACUCAUAAAACUUGGCUGUAUCAAUUGCAUGUAAUAUAUAACCCAAACUGUUAGGGCAUUUUAGAGAAAUUAUAUAUUUUCUUUAAUACACCUAAACGUCAUAAUGUGUUGUUAUCUUGUAUUGAAAAUAGCAAUACUGAUAUCAAAAUAAAAAGCCUUAAAAGACUAUGUGCUACAAGAUGGGCCCAGAGCUAUGAUGCUGUACAUGAUUUUGUGGAAUUAUUUGAUUUUAUAUUAGAAGCCUUAGAACUAAUUUCAGACUGGAAAGAUUCAUCAGGAACUGCUAUAAAAGUCAAUAUGCUUAUAAAACCAAUUUAUUCAGAGUUCAUUGUAUCAGUUUAUGUUGUUAAGCAAAGAAUUACAAGAAAGGUUUUUGUCUCAUUCAGAUAUUUUAAAAGG